rnacentral:rRNA from 1 species
CGCAUCUGUGCAUGCAGCAUAUCAAUAAGCGGAGGAAAAGAAACUAACAAGGAUUCCCCUAGUAACGGCGAGUGAAGCGGGAAGAGCUCAAAUUUGAAAUCUUAAAGGGUUUCCCUUUACGAAUUGUAGUUUAAAGAAGUGUUUUCUGUUGAGGUUUUGGUAAAAGUUCUUUGGAAUAGGACAUCAUAGAGGGUGAGAAUCCCGUAUUUGACCUUUACUUUCAACUUUGUGAUACACUUUCAAAGAGUCGGAUUGUUUGGGAACUGCAGUCCAAAAUGGGUGGUAAAUUUCAUCUAAAGCUAAAUAUUGGCGAGAGACCGAUAGCGAACAAGUACCGUGAGGGAAAGAUGAAAAGAACUUUGAAAAGAGAGUUAAACAGUACGUGAAAUUGUCAAAAGGGAAGCGUUUGACAUCCAGUGUUUGUUUUUCUGAAAAUCAAUUAAAGAACUGUUUAUGCUAAGCUGUUUAGACUUUAUCAGCUAAUCUGUUUAGUUUUGAGCUUUUCUUUAAUGCACUUUUCAGUUAACAAGUCAACAUCAAUUUCUUUUGCUGUAAAAAAGGCUUGAGGAAGGUGGCUUGAGAUUCGUCUUAAGUGUUUAUAGGCCUCUUGCCUAUGCAGUCGGAGAGAUUGAGGUCUGCAGCGUAGAUCCUUCGGGGCUAAAUGCAUUUGUGCUAAGUUAUAACAUUUUAUAGACAACUUGUUGACUAUGAUUUGUCUUGUAGCUUACUCGCUUAUGUUAUUUUACCUACGCUUAGGAUGUUGACAGCAGUAUAGACUGU